UCACUAAGUUACGCAAGUAUAGCCGGUUUGCAAGAGCCGAAGUGCGGUCGGAGAGGGUGGAGAGAGAAGUUAGAAAUGUCUCUUUAUAAGAUUUUUCUCCUCUGCCUGGAAGAAUCAAGGUGGAUUAACCUAACCCUGCAGUCCUAUACAUGCCUACUCAGCUCUGAAUCCUACUGAGUUCAAUAGAUCUUACUCCCAGCUUUUUCCUGCUUGGACACUGCUCCUAAUAUAAAGUGGGGAGAAACAGGCUGGUGACGCAACAGAAUGACUCAUAUUUCGAUCCAUUGGUUCCGCAAGGCACUUCGCCUCCAUGAUAACCCUGCCUUGCUAGCAGCUAUGAAGGAUAGCGCUGAGGUCUACCCUAUCUUUAUCUUUGACCCCUGGUUCCCGAAGAAUAUGCGGGUCAGCGUUAACCGCUGGAGAUUUCUGGUUGAAUCUCUGAGAGAUCUGGACGAGAGCCUCAAGAAGCUGAACUCAAGGCUGUUUGUAGUUCGUGGCAGUCCUGUAGAGGCAUUCCCAGAACUAUUUAAGAAAUGGAAGGUCACCCUGCUCACAUUUGAAGUCGACACAGAACCUUAUGCAAGGCGCCGUGAUGCUGAGGUGGUGAGGGUGGCAGCUGAACAUGGAGUCCAAGUUGUUCAGAAAGUGUCCCACACUUUGUACGACACUGAAAGAAUCAUUAUUGAGAAUAAUGGCAAGGCCCCUCUGACUUACACUCGGCUGCAGACGGUCUUGGCUUCUCUGGGUCCUCCAAAACGGCCUGUUCCAGCUCCUAGUUUGGAAAACUUGAAGGAGUGCAGCACAUCUGUCAAAGAGGACCAUGAUAAAGAGUAUGGCAUCCCUUCUCUUGAGGAACUGGGACAGGAUCCAAAGACAGCUGGCCCCCACCUUUAUCCAGGAGGAGAAUCUGAGGCCCUUGCUCGGCUGGACUUGUAUAUGAAGAGAACGUCAUGGGUAUGCAAUUUUAAGAAGCCUGAUACAUCCCCCAAUUCUUUGACUCCUAGCACCACGGUGCUCAGCCCCUACGUCAAAUUUGGGUGCCUGUCUGUACGGAUGUUCUGGUGGAAGCUGACUGAAAUCUACCAGGGGAGGAAACACUCUGACCCACCGGUAUCUCUGCAUGGGCAACUCCUGUGGCGGGAGUUUUUCUACACGGCAGGAGCUGGGAUCCCCAACUUUGACAAGAUGGAGGGCAAUCCAGUUUGUGUGCAGGUGGACUGGGAUGACAACAAGGAGCAUCUCAAAGCCUGGCGUGAGGGCCGGACAGGCUACCCCUUUAUAGAUGCUAUUAUGACGCAGCUGCGCACAGAGGGCUGGAUCCAUCAUUUGGCACGUCAUGCGGUGGCUUGCUUCCUGACGCGAGGAGAUCUCUGGAUAUCCUGGGAGGAAGGGCAAAAGGUCUUUGAAGAACUGCUGCUUGAUGCCGAUUGGUCCUUGAAUGCCGGUAACUGGCAGUGGCUUUCUGCAAGUGCCUUUUUCCACCAGUUCUUCCGUGUCUACUCACCAAUUGCCUUUGGCAAGAAGACAGACAAAAAUGGAGAGUAUAUAAAGAAGUACCUCCCCUUCCUCAAGAAGUUUCCAAGUGACUACAUUUAUGAGCCUUGGAAAGCACCACGGAGCGUGCAGGAGCGUGCAGGCUGCAUAAUUGGCAAAGACUAUCCCAAGCCCAUCGUUGCUCACGAAGAAGUGCGGAAAAAGAAUCUCGAACGGAUGAAGGCAGCGUAUGCACGGCGAUCACAGAGUGCAGCUGCCGAAGCGCAGGAUGAAAGAAGUAAAAAAGGACAUCGCGUCUGGGAAGGUACGAAGUAACUCAUAUGAAGAAAAAUAAAAAAGGACUCACUUCCCUUAUCGCUCCGUCCCCAUCAAUCCUUCUUUCAGAUGAAAUACAGCCUUUGACUCCUCUCCCUCAGCAGCAUAAAUUUCUCAGCAGUAAACAGCGCUUCUUCCCCUCCUUCUGAAAUGCCAACCAGAAGCGGCCGGAGGCUCCAUUGAAAGCUGAAGUGCGAACAAAGAAAAUGAAGAUCAAAAGCACCUAAAAGUGGCUCAUGUUGAAAACUGUGGCUUAAAACUAAAAAGACAACAAUACCCACAGUAUAAUAACUUUUCAAAAUGCUAGAAGUGGUGGUGAAUGGCUAAGCUAAAUACUACCCCUGUGUUAUACUCUGCCUUUAGAUGGCAAGCGCAACUAGGGAGAAAAUGAGGUCACACAACCCAACAGGGUUUCCAUGCUUAUCUUCUAUGGGGGGGGGACACACACCUUUGGCCAAAUUUGGCCUGGCAGGGUAGCGUCAAUAUGGCCUGCAGGGCCAUUCCCUGAAGCCCACCAAACACCUGAUCUUAAAGUGAGUUUCCAAUUGUUCAUUUGCUGGAGUACAGUAUGCUUCCGCUGACCAUCAGCUGACGGGUGCUGGGAGUGUGGCUUGUUCAAACAGCACAAAGCUACUAAACUGCUACUAAAGGCAAAUCUUGUUUCUUCUGUUUUACCAACAGUUUCAAUGCAAACCACUUCAUGCUACUGAACUACAGGAAGGUUUUGUUUUGUUUUUUUUAAAAAAAACAAAAACAUUUAAAUUUUAAUAUACCAUAUCCCUCUACAUCCUAAGCUACUAUUCUCCCAAAACAGGUAUAUCUUGUGGAUUUUCAGAUUAAGUGACAGAAAGGAACAGCUACUGAGAAGACACACUAGACUGCGAUUAAGUGACAAUUUUUUAAUUAUGAAGUCACCUUGGCAUUUGGGGGGCUGGAAAGGUAACUUGCAAUAUUCUAAAAUAAAAUUGCUCAAAACGAUAUCUUGUAUUCACAACUCUCUCCCUCGGUUACCUUGUGAAUAUCAAUUUUUCUAUCAUAGCAUGUUUCUGAGGAACUUUUCCUUCCCUCAUUAAACUCUUGUUGCCAUUAAGCUUUUUAUGCAAUCUUCCCUUCUCAACCAAAAUUAGCAAGUGCCGGUUAGGCUGAAGGUACAGUUCUUCAGAGCUGGAACUGUUUGAGAGAGACUGCUUCCCAUAGUACACCCCCACAUGUCUUUUGCCUCACUGUCAGCUCUUGCCGGGAAAAUGAAUCAAAAUUGGUUCUCCGUUUUAAACUGCCUUCCACUCUUUGAAAUAACUUUACAGACCUCCUUUCCUUUUCUACCUCCAACUGUAAAAAAAAAGGAAACUCAUUCUUUUAACCCCCAAUAAUGCUGCUUGUUUUUUUUAAAAUGGUAUAUAGAAACAGUAAAAAGUCAGCCUGAUUUCUGGGAUAAGGGUGAAAAAAGUUCAGUUCCUGGAAAGGAAGGGCACCUUCACCAUGCAAGGGAAUAAAAACAUCAAUUAUUGUACAAAGCUUAAUUGCUCAGGUCAUGACCAUUUAGUCAUUAUUUUAUUCAUUCAUUUACUGCAUUUAUAUCCCACUUUUCCCUCCAAAGAAUUCAAGGUGGUGUGCAUGGUUCUCCCCUUCCUCACUUAAUCCCCACAACAACCCUGUGAGGUAGGUUAGGCUGAAAGGCUGUAAAAAAAGGUGCUGUUGCAUCUUCUCCAUGCCCCCAAACAUACUGACAAUCUCUUGCUCAGUAGGCUAUUAAAAACCCCAUCACAAAUCUUUUAAUGGCAGGUAGAACAUAACAGCACAAACUCCAUAUUCUGAGGUGGUUUACCUCUAAAUACCAGAUGCCAGCAAAAAGCAGAAAGCUAUUCCUUCAACACACUGCUUUUAGGCUUCCUAGAGCCACCUGAACAGCUGCACAACAGCAGCAGACUUGAGGGACCCCAUUAAGAAGGACUCAUGCUCUUAGCCUGUAACUGGCUCAAUGGAGACACCCACUUGGCUCUUGCGGCCAACGUGGUAUGAAAAGUUGGAUCACCCUGAUUGAGAGCGUCUUGAUCUAUAGCUGUAGUCAUACCUUGGGUUACAGCUGCUUCAGGUUGUGUCUUUUCGGGUUGCGCUCUGUGCCAAACCCGGAAGUACUGGAACAGGUUACUUCCGGGUUUCGGCGCGCUCACAUGCGAAAAACUGCUAAAUUAUGCUUUGCGCAUACACAGAAGCGCCGAAUCGCAACUCAAGCAUGCACAGGUUGCGAUCACAGCGGGUUGCGAACGUGCCUCCCGCACGGAUCACGUUCACAACCCAAGCGUCUACUGUAUUGGACUUCCUGUUUAGGAAUUUUUUUAAUGUUUGAAGUUCUAUUCUGUUUUUAGUCCUCUGUUGGCAGCCGCCCAGAGUGGCUGGGGAAACCCAGCCAGAUGUGCGGGGUAUAAAUAAUAAAAUGUAUUAUUAUUAUUAUUAUUAUUAUUACUUGAAUUUUCAAUUGUUUCAUGGGUGAAAAUGGAGAAGCGACAAUACUACACAAGGAGUUUAUCCUGUCUGAGGCCCACUCAAAUGAUGUGGAGCUGUGCAAUGUAACACUUGUAGGAACAGUAUGGGAAUCUGAACAGUCUUCACGAACUGCUGCAUGGGCAUGUAGCCA